rnacentral:rRNA from 1 species
UCCUGGCUCAGAUUGAACGCUGGCGGCAUGCUUUACACAUGCAAGUCGAACGGCAGCGGGGGCUUCGGCCUGCCGGCGAGUGGCGAACGGGUGAGUAAUGCAUCGGAACGUGCCCAUGUCGUGGGGGAUAACGUAGCGAAAGCUACGCUAAUACCGCAUACGCCCCUGAGGGGGAAAGCGGGGGGAUUCUUCGGAACCUCGCGCGAUUGGAGCGGCCGAUGUCGGAUUAGCUAGUAGGUGGGGUAAAGGCCCACCUAGGCGACGAUCCGUAGCGGGUCUGAGAGGAUGAUCCGCCACACUGGGACUGAGACACGGCCCAGACUCCUACGGGAGGCAGCAGUGGGGAAUUUUGGGACAAUGGGCGCAAGCCUGAUCCAGCCAUGCCGCGUGAGUGAAGAAGGCCUCGGUGUAAGACUCUUCGUCCGGGACGGAAAGUACGUGGUCGUCUAACACUAG